rnacentral:rRNA from 1 species
UACGAAGGGGGCUAGCGUUGUUCGGAUUUACUGGGCGUAAAGCGCGUGUAGGCGGGUCGUUAAGUUAGGGGUGAAAUCCCAAGGCUCAACCUUGGAACUGCCUCUAAAACUGGCGACCUGGAGCAGAUGAGAGGCGAGUGGAAUUCCGAGUGUAGAGGUGAAAUUCGUAGAUAUUCGGAGGAACACCAGUGGCGAAGGCGACUCGCUGGCAUCUUGCUGACGCUGAGACGCGAAAGCGUGGGGAGCAAACACG